rnacentral:rRNA from 1 species
AGUGAACGCUGGCGGUAGGCCUAACACAUGCAAGUCGAACGGCAGCACAGUAAGAGCUUGCUCUUACGGGUGGCGAGUGGCGGACGGGUGAGGAAUACAUCGGAAUCUACUUUUUCGUGGGGGAUAACGUAGGGAAACCUACGCUAAUACCGCAUACGACCUACGGGUGAAAGCAGGGGAUCUUCGGACCUUGCGCGAUUGAAUGAGCCGAUGUCGGAUUAGCUAGUUGGCGGGGUAAAGGCCCACCAAGGCGACGAUCCGUAGCUGGUCUGAGAGGAUGAUCAGCCACACUGGAACUGAGACACGGUCAAGACUCCUACGGGAGGCAGCAGUGGGGAAUAUUGGACAAUGGGCGCAAGCCUGAUCCAGCCAUACCGCGUGGGUGAAGAAGGCCUUCGGGUUGUAAAGCCCUUUUGUUGGGAAAGAAAAGCAGCAGGUUAAUACCCCGCUGUUCUGACGGUACCCAAAGAAUAAGCACCGGCUAACUUCGUG